CUUGGGCACCUCCCGGGAUGUAACAUCCCAAAAUUUCAAACCUUUACAUGUGCAUUGCAUCCAUGAGCAUCAUGACACAAUUGCAUGUUUGAAUUCAAAUUUUGAAUCACAAAAGGCUUUAAGAGAUUUUGUUUACAUCCCUGUAACCUUUGGAUUUUGAAACCAAUAGGGUUGAUGUAUAAAAAGGGUUUAAUGCAUAUGUAAGCUAGCCCAUAAUUUUUGGUUAACUAAUUGGAGUUGAAAAAGUAUUUUAUUCAAACAGAUAUAUAGCCCUAAAGUCAUUUAUAGGGCAAAUGUAUUUUUAUAUAUUUUAUUUUGAAGAGAAACUACUUCCAAAAGUUGUAUCAUGGUAGAACAUGAUUUUACAAAUUUUCUGGAAUUUAUUUGGACCAAUUUGGAGUUCAAACACAAAAGAUAUCAAAGAAAUGAGAAAAACAGAAAAAGAGAAGGCCUAAAAGAAAAAAAAAAGGGGGUAAACCGGACCGGCCCGGCCA
rnacentral:lncRNA from 1 species